UACAUGAGUGACAAGCGUUAUUCGUAAUUAUUGGGUGUAAAGCGUGCGUAGAUUAUAAAAGAAAUUAUUUUUACUAGAAUGGUUUCAGGUUUUAAAUAAUACCUUUUCAUUUGAAUUUUUUUAAAAUAAACAUAAUUUGUAAAUUAGUGAUUAAAUACAGAAAAUUUACAAGAAAUUCCUUAUACGAAGGUAGUUUAUUUAAUUGAAUUGACAUUGAUGCACUAAAGUGUAGAUACCGACUAGGAUUAGAGACCCUAUUAGCCUACACUGUAAACUAUGAGUAUUAAAUCUUUUUGAUUUAAGCUAACGCGAUAAAUACUCCACCUGGGCAGUACAGUCGCAAGGUUGAAACUUAACUGAAUUGGCGGGAAUCUGUUCAAACGGUGGAACAUGUGGUUUAAUGCGAUAAUCCACGCAUAAUCUUACCAACAUUAUAGUAAUAUUUUUAAUUUUUAGAAAAAUUAACUUUGUUACUUAAAGUACUGCACGGCUGUCGUCAGUUCGUGUCUUGAAAUGUAGAAUUAAGUUUUAUAACGAACGCAACCCCCUUGAUUAGUUUUAAUAAAUUUUUUAGAAAAUUUUUUUUCUAAUAUUUUUAUUUUCUAAUUUUAAGAUUAUUGGAGGUAAGGGCUGAAGUCAAGUCUUCAUGGUCUGUAUAUGUUGGGCUACACACGUGUUACAAUGGUGAAAACAAAAAGUUACAAAUGUUUAAUCUGGAGUAAAACUUAAAAAAUCACCUCAGUUCGAAUUGUUUUCUGAAACUCGAAAGCAUGAAGAUGAAAUCGUAAGUAAUCGUAAAAUAGUAUGUUACGGUGAAUUAUAAGUCAGAUUUUGCACACACCGCCCAUCACGCUCUGAGAGUUGGACUGUUCUGAAGAUGUAAUUUUUUUUAAAUUUCGUAUUACGAUAAAUUUUUUAUUUUAAAAAAAGUGAACUUGAACGGCGGUUUGGUAAUUUGAGUGAAGUUG
rnacentral:rRNA from 1 species